rnacentral:rRNA from 1 species
GACAGAGGCCCCAAGCGUUAGGCGGAAUCACUGGGCUUAAAGCGUGUGUAGGCGGACGCCUAAGUGUCUUGUGAAAUCCCCCGGCUCACCCGGGGAACUGCUGGGCAUACUGGGCGUCUUGGGCCAACUAGGGGCAGCCGGAACAAGCGGUGGAGCGGCGAAAUGCGUAGAUAUCGCUUGGAACGCCGAAGGUGAAAACAGGCUGCUGGGGUUGCGCCGACGCUGAGACACGAAAGCCAGGGGAGCAAACGGG